rnacentral:rRNA from 1 species
UACAGAGGUGGCAAGCGUUGUUCGGAUUCAUUGGGCGUAAAGGGUGCGUAGGUGGCGCGGUAAGUCGGGUGUGAAAUCUCGGAGCUUAACUCCGAAAUUGCAUUCGAUACUGCCGUGCUCGAGGACUGGAGAGGAGACUGGAAUUCAUGGUGUAGCAGUGAAAUGCGUAGAGAUCAUGAGGAAGACCAGUGGCGAAGGCGGGUCUCUGGACAGUUCCUGACACUGAGGCACGAAGGCCAGGGGAGCAAACGGG